rnacentral:rRNA from 1 species
AGCUAGUUGGUGAGGUAAUGGCCCACCAAGGCGACGAUCGGUAGCCGGACUGAGAGGUUGAACGGCCACAUUGGGACUGAGACACGGCCCAGACUCCUACGGGAGGCAGCAGUGGGGAAUAUUGCACAAUGGGGGAAGCCCUGAUGCAGCGACGCCGCGUGGAGGAAGAAGGUCUUCGGAUUGUAAACUCCUGUUGUUGAGGAAGAUAAUGACGGUACUCAACAAGGAAGUGACGGCUAACUACGUGCCAGCAGCCGCGGUAAAACGUAGGUCACAAGCGUUGUCCGGAAUUACUGAGUGUAAAGGGAGCGCAGGCGGGAAGGCAAGUUGGAAGUGAAAUCUAUGGGCUCAACCCAUAAACUGCUUUCAAAACUGUUUUUCUUGAGUAGUGCAGAGGUAGGUGGGAUUCCCGGUGUAGCGGUGGAAUGCGUAGAUAUCGGGAGGAACACCAGUGGCGAAGGCGGCCUACUGGGCACCAACUGACGCUGAGGCUCGAAAGUGUGGGUAGCAAACAGGAUUAGAUACCCUGGUAGUCCACACCGUAAACGAUGAUUACUAGGUGUUGGAGGAUUGACCCCUUCAGUGCCGCAGUUAACACAAUAAGUAAUCCACCUGGGGAGUACGACCGCAAGGUUGAAACUCAAAGGAAUUGACGGGGGCCCGCACAAGCAGUGGAGUAUGUGGUUUAAUUCGACGCAACGCGAAGAACCUUACCAAGUCUUGACAUCCCUUGACGAACAUAGAAAUAUGUUUUCUCUUCGGAGCAAGGAGACAGGUGGUGCAUGGUUGUCGUCAGCUCGUGUCGUGAGAUGUUGGGUUAAGUCCCGCAACGAGCGCAACCCUUAUGGUCAGUUACUACGCAAGAGGACUCUGGCCAGACUGCCGUUGACAAAACGGAGGAAGGUGGGGAUGACGUCAAAUCAUCAUGCCCUUUAUGACUUGGGCUACACACGUACUACAAUGGCGUUAAACAAAGAGAAGCAAGACCGCGAGGUGGAGCAAAACUCAGAGACAACGUCCCAGUUCGGACUGCAGGCUGCAACUCGCCUGCACGAAGUCGGAAUUGCUAGUAAUCGCAGAUCAGCAUGCUGCGGUGAAUACGUUCCCGGGCCUUGUACACACCGCCCGUCACACCAUGAGAGCCGGGGGGACCCGAAGUCGGUAGUCUAACCGCAAGGAGGACGCCGCCGAAGGUAAAACUGGUGAUUGGGGUGAAGUCGUAACAAGGUAGCCGUAGGAGAACCUGCGGCUG